rnacentral:rRNA from 1 species
AUUGAACGCUGGCGGCAUGCCUUACACAUGCAAGUCGAACGGCAGCACGGGAGCAAUCCUGGUGGCGAGUGGCGAACGGGUGAGUAAUGUAUCGGAACGUGCCCAGGCGUGGGGGAUAACGUAGCGAAAGCUACGCUAAUACCGCAUACGAUCUGUGGAUGAAAGCGGGGGACCGUAAGGCCUCGCGCGAUUGGAGCGGCAGAUAUCAGAUUAGGUAGUUGGUGGGGUAAAGGCCUACCAAGCCGACGAUCUGUAGCGGGUCUGAGAGGACGACCAGCCACACUGGUACUGAGACACGGCCCAGACUCCUACGGGAGGCAGCAGUGGGGAAUUUUGGACAAUGGGAGCAAGCCUGAUCCAGCAAUGCCGCGUGCAGGAUGAAGGCCUUCGGGUUGUAAACUGCUUUUGUACGGAGCGAAAAGGCUCUCUCUAAUACAGGGGGCUCAUGACGGUACCGUAAGAAUAAGCACCGGCUAACUACGUGCCAGCAGCCGCGGUAAGAC